UGCAGGUCUGCCCACAA
rnacentral:misc_RNA from 1 species